rnacentral:rRNA from 1 species
UACGGAGGAUGCAAGCGUUAUCCGGAAUUAUUGGGCGUAAAGCGUCCGUAGGUGGCCGUUCAAGUCUGCCGUUAAAACCAGUGGCUUAACCACUGACAGGCGGUGGAAACUGAAUAGCUAGAGUGUGGUAGGGGUAGAGGGAAUUCCCAGUGUAGCGGUGAAAUGCGUAGAGAUUGGGAAGAGCACCGGUGGCGAAAGCGCUCUGCUGGACCACAACUGACACUCACAGGACGAAAGCUAGGGGAGCGAAAGGG